ACGUAGGGAGCAAGCGUUAUCCGGAUUUAUUGGGUGUAAAGGGUGCGUAGACGGGAAAUUAAGUUAGUUGUGAAAGCCCUCGGCUUAACUGAGGAACUGCAACUAAAACUGGUUUUCUUGAGUGCAGGAGAGGUAAGUGGAAUUCCUAGUGUAGCGGUGAAAUGCGUAGAUAUUAGGAGGAACACCAGUGGCGAAGGCGACUUACUGGACUGUAACUGACGUUGAGGCACGAAAGUGUGGGGAGCAAACAG
rnacentral:rRNA from 1 species